AGCAGCCGCGGUAAUUCCAGCUCCAAUAGCGUAUAUUAAAGUUGUUGCAGUUAAAGCUCGUAGUUGAAUUUUAGGCCUGGCCGGGCGGUCCGUCUUUGGCGAGUACUGUCCUGUGUCGGGUCCACCUUCUGGUGAACCAGUAUGUCCUUUAUUGGGUGUUUUGGGGAGCCAGGACCAUUACCUUGAAAAUUAGAGUGUUUAAAGCAGGCAUUUGCUUGAAUAGAUUAGCAUGGAAUAAUAGAAUAGGACGUUGUGGUUCUAUUUUGUUGGUUUCUAGGACCACCGUAAUGAUUAAUAGGGAUAGUUGGGGGCAUUAGUAUUCAAUUGCCAGAGGUGAAAUUCUUGGAUUUAUUGAAGACUAACUAUUGCGAAAGCAUUUGCCAAGGAUGUUUUCAUUAAUCAAGAACGAAAGUUAGGGGAUCGAAGACGAUCAGAUACCGUCGUAGUCUUAACCAUAAACUAUGCCGACUAGGAAUCGGGCGACGUUAUUUUCAUGACUCGCUCGGCGCCUUAUGGGAAA
rnacentral:rRNA from 1 species